UGAGGAAUAUUGGGUCAAUGGGGCGAGAGCCUGAACCAGCCAAGUCGCGUGAGGGAAGACGGUCCUAAGGGUUGUAAACCUCUUUUGUCGGGGAACAACGAGUUGCACGUGUGCGACAGUGAGGGUACCCGAAGAAAAGCAUCGGCUAACUCCGUGCCAGCAGCCGCGGUAAUACGGAGGAUGCGAGCGUUAUCCGGAUUUAUUGGGUUUAAAGGGAGCGUAGGCCGGAGAUUAAGCGUGUUGUGAAAUGCCGCGGCUCAACCGUGGCACUGCAGCGCGAACUGGUCUUCUUGAGUACGCACAACGUGGGCGGAAUUCGUGGUGUAGCGGUGAAAUGCUUAGAUAUCACGAAGAACUCCGAUUGCGAAGGCAGCUCACGGGAGCGCAACUGACGCUGAAGCUCGAAAGUGCGGGUAUCGAACAGGAUUAGAUACCCUGGUAGU
rnacentral:rRNA from 1 species